rnacentral:rRNA from 1 species
AAGCCCCUUCGGGGGCAAGUAGAGUGGCGCACGGGUGAGUAACACGUAUGUAAUCUACCUUCGGAUGGGGAAUAACAACCGGAAACGGUUGCUAAUACCGCAUAAUGCAGCGGCACCUAAUGGUGACAGUUGUUAAAGCGGGGGAUCGAAAGACCUCGCGUCUGAAGAGGAGCCUGCGGCGGAUUAGCUAGUUGGUAGGGUAAUGGCCUACCAAGGCAACGAUCCGUAGCCCGGCCUGAGAGGGCGGUCGGCCACACUGACACUGACAUACGGGUCAGACUCCUACGGGAGGCAGCAGUCGGGAAUUUUGGGCAAUGGGCGAAAGCCUGACCCAGCAACGCCGCGUGAAGGAUGAAAUCCUUCGGGAUGUAAACUUCGCAAGAACGGGAAGAAUAAGUCUGCGCGAAUAUCGCAGAUGAUGACGGUACCGUUUGUAAGCUCCGGCUAACUCCGUGCCAGCAGCCGCGGUAAUACGGGGGGAGCAAGCGUUGUUCGGAUUUACUGGGCGUAAAGGGCGCGUAGGCGGCCACUGCAAGUCAAUUGUGAAAUCUCCGGGCUUAACUCGGAAAGGUCAACUGAUACUGCAGGGCUAGAGUGCAGAAGGGGCAACUGGAAUUCUCGGUGUAGCGGUGAAAUGCGUAGAUAUCGAGAGGAACACCUGCGGCGAAGGCGGGUUGCUGGGCUGACACUGACGCUGACAGUGCGAAAGCUAGGGGAGCGAACGGGAUUAGAUACCCCGGUAGUCCUAGCCUUAAACGAUGAAUGCUUGGUGUCUGGGGUUUUAUAGUCCCCGGGUGCCGUCGCUAACGCUUUAAGCUUUCCGCCUGGGGAGUACGGUCGCAAGACUGAAACUCAAAGGAAUUGACGGGGACCCGCACAAGCGGUGGAGCAUGUGGUUUAAUUCGACGCAACGCGAAGAACCUUACCUGGGCUAGAAUGCCUCUGACAGCCCCAGAGAGGGGGUCUCCUGGGUAAAACCAGGCAGAGUGCAAGGUGCUGCAUGGCUGUCGUCAGCUCGUGUCGUGAGAUGUUGGGUUAAGUCCCGCAACGAGCGCAACCCUUAUCAAUAGUUGCCAGCGGUUCGGCCGGGCACUCUAUUGAGACUGCCGUUGACAAAACGGAGGAAGGUGGGGAUGACGUCAAGUCCUCAUGGCCUUUAUGUCCAGGGCUACACACGUGCUACAAUGGCCGGUACAAAGCGCUGCAAAAGAGCAAUCUGGAGCCAAUCGCAAAAAGCCGGUCUCAGUUCGGAUUGGAGUCUGCAACUCGACUCCAUGAAGUUGAAUCGCUAGUAAUCG